rnacentral:rRNA from 1 species
AUUGAACGCUGGCGGCAUGCCUUACACAUGCAAGUCGAACGGCAGCACGGGUGCUUGCACCUGGUGGCGAGUGGCGAACGGGUGAGUAAUACAUCGGAACAUGUCCUGUAGUGGGGGAUAGCCCGGCGAAAGCCGGAUUAAUACCGCAUACGAUCUACGGAUGAAAGCGGGGGACCUUCGGCCUCGCCCCAUAGGGUUGGCCGAUGGCUGAUUAGCUAGUUGGUGGGGUAAAGGCCUACCAAGGCGACGAUCAGUAGCUGGUCUGAGAGGACGACCAGCCACACUGGGACUGAGACACGGCCCAGACUCCUACGGGAGGCAGCAGUGGGGAAUUUUGGACAAUGGGCGAAAGCCUGAUCCAGCAAUGCCGCGUGUGUGAAGAAGGCCUUCGGGUUGUAAAGCACUUUUGUCCGGAAAGAAAUCCUUGGCCCUAAUACGGUCGGGGGAUGACGGUACCGGAAGAAUAAGCACCGGCUAACUACGUG